AAAAUGAAGUAUCAAAGUAGAAUACGUCCCAUCUUGGUCAGUAAUGUUAUCCCUAAAAAUUCAACCUCUGCACUACUGCAGGAGAAAUAAACUGAUGUCUGGGGCAGGGAGAGGGUAAGUGGUAAUUCAGAAAGAGACAAAGUCCUGUGGGGUAACCUGCCAGUGGAUCCAGGGUAGCUGUCUUGGUGGCUGUUGCUAGCCGGUCCUGGGGAGCAAUGGUGAGAGGGCAGGAGGCUGAGAGCAGGGAUCACACGGGGAUGGGGUCUCUUGCAUGGAUGAGGGUGACUUUUGUGUCAGAACCUGUGUCGGCCUGGAGGGAAGACAGUAGAGGAGGAAAGGAAACAGUUAUCGGGCCAAGCAGAGGCUUUUGGGACGGGAGGCAAGAGCAGCUGUGGGGGAAUGGGCUGGAAAAGGCUUCAAGAGUUGUUUCUAAUGGAAUAGACUGACCCGCCUCCUGUUUAAUGCAUGACUAAGGCAAGGUAAUUUGAGCUAACUUAGCUCUCUUUCAUUGCAACCACAACCCUGUUCUCAAUUCUGGACAGUUCUUGGAUUAAAAAGGGAAAAAAAGAAACACACACACAAAGCCUCCAGGAUUUCCCUCUUUCUGCAUCAUUCACUUCCUAAAAGACAGCCGAUGCACCAAGUGCCAAAGCAAAGGAGAUGACGUGCAGGCACACCGGGAGAGCAGCCGUGCUCCUCGGCAAAGGGGGACCCAUCCGGCUGUGGGGAGAAAGCCAGCACAGCUCAGCAGUUGGAAUUUGAUCUCUCUCACACCCAGAGCUGAGAUAUUAAACACCUGUACACGGGGCCAUGAAUACCUGGGUAGCCCAUGGUUCUCUGCAUCUGCUUCUUCACACGGAGCUGGGAGUCGGUGAGUCAAGCUCUCCUUCCUGUGACUGGCAGCAGAUCUCCCCGGCAAGCAAAUCUCAGCAUUGUGCCACAUCCCCCUCAUCGUCCAGCCCGAUGUUUCCUCCUUCCCCUGGCUGGCUGGCAAAGCAGCCUUGCAGCCCAGCCCUGCAGAACACCACUUACAAAUUCAACCUGGAGCUGAAAGGCAAGGUGUUACUUUUCUGGCUAGUCUCCCCUCUCCAGUAAGGACAUGAAUGAGAAUAUUGUCCAGCAUUUCUGGUGGAGCUGCAUGAACCAGGGCAUGCUAAGCACAGGCUGCCUCUCCCAGCUUCAUUGAAACAAAAAGCAAUCCUACCUUAGUCACAGAAGCCGGCAAGAGCUCUCUCCAGCCUUGAGUGCUUCACUGGUUUUGAGCUUGAAUUUCUCUGUCGGAACUUCCAGUUAUUCAGUAGCAGCUUUAGAGGUUUCCUGUAUUUCACAAGGGCAUUCGCUAACAAUGAAUGCUUCCAAUAAGCUGUCUGUUGACUUGUUGACACUUAAAAUGUAUUUUGUUUUUCUUGUUCCCUCAGCUGCAGUGAGUUAGUUCAUUUGGAAUUACAAUGGCAGCACAGUAGGACUUGGUUGGUCUUUUGCUUGCAUAAAAUUUAGUUGAAACUCAUGUGAAUCCUAAAAGACAAGGUGUUUGAAUGAGAUGAAGUAAAAUCCUUUUUUUAAAAAUGAAAGGAAAUUAAAAUUGUCUUUUCUUCCUCAGCCUCAACAAUUUAAAAAAUCUUGGAAGGGAAAUUCAUUGGCUUCUGUAGGAAUUUUAAAAUUAAAACCUUUUCACCCCUCUAAUGAGGCAGACUUUAGGAGGAAACAAGGCAUCUGUGUUCAUGCUCCUGGUGCCAGUCCAGCAGUCUCCUUCCAGGAAUGCUGGAGUGCCUUGGCCCGGCCCAACCUGCGUCGCAGCAGCCACUUCUACUUAUUAUUGACAUCCAUAUCGAGCCCUAUCGAUAGGUCUGGCGUUUGACAGGCAUCAAUGCUGCUCCAUUUUCACAAGCAUCCAUGUCAAUAUGUUCAAUGCCUACCAAGAGCCAAAUCAGGCAGAGAGCAAAAGCCAUAGAUGCCGAUGGAGAUGGAGAGGGAGUGAUGGCUAUCGGCAGGGAUCAAUAGCGACAGUUACUGAGAACUAUCGAUACAUAGUGCUCUCGAUGCCUUGAAGUGGGUUUGGAAAUCAACAGGCCUCGAUGCCUGUUGAGAUCAAGGG
rnacentral:lncRNA from 1 species